rnacentral:lncRNA from 1 species
AUGAAGGAGUUCAUUACCGACCUAGGGGUGAUUCCCAAUGCGUCGAGCCCAAUGACUCUCUUAUGUGACAACACUGGAGCUAUUGCCCUUGCGAAGGAGCCCAGGUUUCACAGGAAGACCAGGCAUAUCAAGCGUCGCUUCAACUCCAUUCGUGAAAGUGUUCAAAAUGGAGACAUAGAUAUUUGUAAAGUACACACGGACCUGAAUGUAGCAGAUCCGUUGACUAAACCUCUCCCUAGGGCAAAACAUGAUCAACACCAGGACGCAAUGGGUGUUCGAUUCAUCACAAUGUAACUAGAUUAUUGACUCUAGUGCAAGUGGGAGACUAUUGGAAAUAUGCCCUAGAGGCAAUAAUAAAUGGUUAUUAUUAUAUUUCUUUGUUCAUGGUAAUUGUCUAUUAUUCAUGCUAUAAUUGUAUUGUCCGGAAAUCGUAAUACAUGUGUGAAUACAUAGACCACAACGUGUCCCUAGUAAGCCUCUAGUUGACUAGCUCGUUGAUCAACAGAUAGUCAUGGUUUCCUGACCAUGGACAUUGGAUGUCGUUGAUAACGGGAUCAGAUCAUUAGGAGAAUGAUGUGAUGGACAAGACCCAAUCCUAAGCAUAGCAUAAAAGAUCGUGUAGUUUCGUUUGCUAGAGCUUUUCCAAUGUCAAGUAUCUUUUCCUUAGACCAUGAGAUCGUGCAACUCCCGGAUAUCGUAGGAGUGCUUUGGGUGUGCCAAACGUCACAACGUAACUGGGUGACUAUAAAGGUGCACUACGGGUAUCUCCGAAAGUGUCUGUUGGGUUGGCACGGAUCGAGACUGGGAUUUGUCACUCCGUGUGACGGAGAGGUAUCUCUGGGCCCACUCGGUAAUGCAUCAUCAUAAUGAGCUCAAUGUGACUAAGGCGUUAGUCACGGGAUCAUGCAUUGCGGUACGAGUAAAGAGACUUGCCGGUAACGAGAUUGAACAAGGUAUUGGGAUACCGACGAUCGAAUCUCGGGCAAGUAAAAUACCGAUUGACAAAGGGAAUUGCAUACGGAUUGAUUGAAUCCUCGACACCGUGGUUCACCCGAUGAUAUCAUCGUGGAACAUGUGGGAGCCAACAUGGGUAUCCAGAUCCCGCUGUUGGUUAUUGACCGGAGAGGCGUCUCGGUCAUGUCUGCAUGUCUCCCGAACCCGUAGGGUCUACACACUUAAGGUCCGGUGACGCUAGGGUUGUAGAGAUAUAUGUAUGCGGAAACCCGAAAGUUGUUCGGAGUCCCGGAUGAGAUCCCGGACGUCACGAGAGGUUCCGGAAUGGUCCGGAGGUGAAGAAUUAUAUAUAGGAAGUCCAGUUUUGGCCACCGGGAAAGUUUCGGGGGUUAUCGGUAUUGUACCGGGACCACCGGAAGGGUCCCGGGGGUCCACCGGGUGGGGCCACCUGUCCCGGAGGGCCCCGUGGGCUGAAAGUGGAGGGGAACCAGCCCCUAAUGGGCUGGGGCGCCACUUUGGGCCUCCCCCCCAUGCGCCUAGGGUUGGGAACCCUAGGGGCGGAGUUUCCCCUUGCCUUGGGGGGCAAGGCAACCCCUUUCCCCUUGGCCGCCGCCCCCCCUUGGAGAUCCCAUCUCCAAGGGCUGCGCACCCCCCCUUGGGGGCCUAUAUAAAGGGGGGGGAGGGAGGGCAGCACACUACAGCCUUUGGCGCCUCCCUCCUCCCCUGCAACACCUCUCUCUCGCGCGCAGAAGCUCGGCGAAGCCUUGCCGGAGAGCCGCUACAUCCACCACCACGCCGUCGUGCUGUUGGAUCUCCAUCAACCUCUCCUCCCCCCUUGCUGGAUCAAGAAAGGAGGAGACGUCGCUGCACCGUACGUGUGUUGAACGCGGAGGUGCCGUCCGUUCGGCACUCGGUCAUCGGUGAUUUGGAUCACGGCGAGUACGACUCCGUCAUCCACGUUCAUUGGAACGCUUCCGCUCGCGAUCUACAAGGGUAUGUAGAUCCACUCCUUUCCCCUCGUUGCUAGUAGACUCCAUAGAUGCAUCUUGGUGAGCGUAGGAAAAUUUUAAAUUAUGCUACGAUUCCCAACAAGUAUGGCACACACCACCAGCACGACUUCCAUCUGACACCAUAUUUCUUGGAGUCCGUGCUACAGCAAUCUCUUCAACCUAGUCGUUUCUCUAACUCAGCCAUCGCGCGGUGGGCGAGGUGGGGGUUUGCCGAUAGUCGGUUUCCUCAACUGCGGUCCCACUUGUAAGGCCAACUCCAACGCACGACCCCAAACGGACCUCUGUUUUGCCCGGAUUCUGUCUGUUUGGGUAGGGCAAUGGGGUCGUGUCCGGGCCAUUUCUCGGAUGCGGUGGUCGUGCGCCGAACGCGUGACCGCAUCCCGGCCGCGUACAUUUUUGUUUGCAAACACAUAUCUUUUUUUCAUCAUUGAUUUUUUAGUACAUGGAAAUACAUCACCAAAAUUUUGACUAGAAAAGCAAGACCAAAGAACACAAGAACCACAAGAAUACAUUUUAGAAGAUAUCCAACUUCCAUAACUGCUCCUGUAAGUUGGAUUAGUGCCUUCUCGAUGCAUUCAUUGUUGAUCUGUGGAGGCUCGAUCUUGCGUGCUUCUUUCUUCUUCGAGUGUAAAGAAUUAGACGUGUCUAGCCUCUAUUCUAUCAACAAGUGCACUAGUCUCAUCUCUAGCCUCUAUGCUAGCUAAAAGUGCUAGAACAUCUACUAAAUUGUGCUCUAUCAAUAUAUCAUUGUACUCUUCUUCCCAAUACCAAAACGUGCAUCCAUUCUACACAAUAAAAUUUUAAGUUAGCACAACUAGUCUAAUCCGAGAGCACAACCGAAGAUUUGGUCGAGUUCUUCCUCCUUUUGCCGACACGUGGGACAUCCAGCAUCCAGGACGUGUCAUGCAAGAAAAUAGAGUGGUAGGUGAAGCCACGUGAUGUGCAUCUUGGGUUAAACUGUAAAUAGAAUCUUACUACUCUUGAGUAACUCCAAAAGUGGCCACCGAAGAUCUUUAUUGGAUUUGUUUUUCAUCACCAGCACGUCGAGGUGAAAGAUGUGCAGGUUCAGUGGGUCCUCUUGCGUUUUCACUGACAUGUGGGACCGUAUAUGAGCAAACAGACGAUGGGCUCCGCGCGUCUGCUGGCUGGCUGAGAAGAGAGAUAGAGGAGGGCCGAGCAUGGACUCCAGGAAAUUUGUUCUACGUACUCGAUAUAGUGGAGUAACCAGCACCUCGAUAUAGUGGGGUGGCAUGGGCCAUAACUAGCAUUCAUGUCUAGCAGUACGGCACAUGCCACCCACACGAGUCCCAUCCGACACCAAUUUUCUUGGAGUCCGUGCUAGCUACAGCCAUCUCUUCUCCCUCCUGUUUUCUCAGCCAUCGCGCGGUGGGCGGGGUGGGGGUUUGCCGAUAGUCGGUUUGCUCAACUGCGGUCCCACUUGUAAGUGAAAAUGCAACACAGCACGCAUUCCCCCUUGAGCGGCGUGCCGGACAAACCGUGUGGGGGUGCGACGCGAACACGGCAGGCUUUUCCUUUUGAACUUGUAACUUGUAAAUUUUGGUUCUGCUCCAUGGGGCGACCGAUAGAUAGAAAUAACGAUUUUCCCUAGAGUAAUGAGAAGUUUGGUUCUGGCACGGUUCAUGCAUGGAGUACGUAGGAAAAUUAUGAAGUUGAUGCGAAAGGUAAGAUAAUUACUAGUAGUACCAUAUACUACUACAUGGAUUUGACGGAAAGAUAAAGAUACAUACGGAUCCAUCAAUGACAUCCUCACGCCCUAGUGCACCGGGUCACCAACCGACGUGUGAGGAGCAGCGGCGUUGGCGGCAAGCUCAACGUGCUUCUAAACAAUGCCAUCCAAGGUUGCCAUGCGGUCCAAGAAGGCCAGCGUCCUAUCGUCCUCCUCUUGCAUGUAGUAGUCCUUGUGGACGAUUUGCGCGUAGACGUGGGUGAUUAUGUCGAUGGUGUCUUGCUGCGCCAGGCGCUGCGCGGCGAGCGCGACCUCGAGGUGGACAUUCUCCGGCGCAACGGCGGGCAGUCACAGGGCCACUAGUGCGUCGAAGAGGUUGUCACCAUAGAGGCUGUUGAGGGUGGCAGGCAUCACAGAGCCUGGGCGCGUGGGCUGGAGGCGUAUGUCAAGGUCGUCCGCGAGCUUCUUGACGACGGUGAACUUGUCGAGGAAGUCGACGAGGACCUCGUCGAACAAGGAGACGAAGCUGUCGUCCAAGCGGCCCCUCGCCCUGGCGGCCUCAAGCACUACCUGGAGACAUUCCUCGGUGCCAGGAUGCAGGCCGGCGUCGUGGACCAUUUGGCACAGCCGGCUGAUGCUCGCGCUCAUCGCCUCCAUGGGUCUAGCUUCUAGUCAACUGAUCUUGCGAUUGGAGUGAUCACUCUUGCCCUUAGGUGCGUAGGUGCGUAGGAUUUCGUAGAUUGGACUGUCGGGAGCCUUUAUAUGAGAAGUGCAAACUGCGUUGAAUUCACGUGCGUGUUGGCCAUCUACUCCUCGCCCCUCUACUGCACCUGCCUUUGGCUAUAUGAUAGGUUGGCCAGCCACCCGUUGGACCCACGUGUCAUACACCCAAAGGCAGGUGCAGUAAGUCAAUGAAGCUGCGUCCCCCUCCGUGCCCGUGCAUGCUUUCAAUUACUUGAGACUACCAAACAUCACAUGCGGUGGUUAGUUCAUUGCAUGUAAUCCUAUUAAGUAGCAAAAAGACAUUAAGUUACCCCGCCGAUAGGAAUAAAACAAUACACCAUGUAUUUAUUUACAGAGGGAGUAUAGCCAGCAUCUAGUUAGUAUAUGAAGUUGCCACAUCACAUAGAGCCAACCUAAUAUUGGAGUAUGCUAGCCCUCCACCGGCGCGCCGCUUCAAAUGGCGGAGGAAGUGAGAGGUCGCGUCACCUUGUGUCCAGAUCUGAGAUGCCACGUGUACCAGAUGAAUGACUCCAAGUUCGACCACCGUGAUGCUAGGUGCGAGCCAAGGAACACUGUUGGAGAGACCCCCCUCAUAAUUUUCCUACAUUGUCGACGACGAGGUGCCUAUGGUGACUUCGUAAAUUUCAAGAUGAUAGUGCCGUGUGUGUGUGCGUUCAUAGGGGUGAGUGUAUGCGCGUGUAUAUGAGCGCUUGCGUCUGUACUAUGUAAAAAACGUAAAUCCGUGUCAAAAAGAGACUAGUCAGUAUACUCAAUAUUGUGCACCUCGGAGAGGAAAACGAUAGAACUAGUACGUAUUUAUUUACGGUGCAGAUUCACUCAUUUUGCUCCAUAUGUACUCCGUCUCGGUGUAGUCUAGUCACUUGUUGAAAUCUCUAGAAGGGCAAAUACUCCUUUCUGGUAUACAGGGCUAUACUAGCAAGUAGUUGUACGUACUAGUACAAUAGUGGGCUCACAUAGCAAUUUUGUCUCAUGCAAGAGCCUGGCUAUAUGCGUGCUCCAAUGUUCGCAACUGCAACGUUCGGUUUGCGCUUGGCUCUUCGCCUCUUCGAGAAGACGAACAAUGAUGUUACUACUACUGCUUCUACAGUGUCGAAUCCACUGCUGCAUGUCCGUCCACCGCGAGCGGGACGGAUAGCUUGUUGUAGAAGUACUACUAAGCAAAAGUCUGUCCUCGUUUGUGAGCAACCGCGCGCAUGGGUGAGGGAGAAGGCGUGUAGUAAAAUCAAGCUUCUCCUCGUUGUACGAGUUGACGCGACACAUCAUAGCACUGGCCCCACAUGCUUGCCUCUAAACUUGGCUGAAAGACCCGCAGUGUACAAUAUAUUUGUUGCAACCUCUAAUAUUUACCCACCACAAAUUAAAAUAUAUGUGGCCGUAUGCAUCGUUCUGAUGCAGAGGCCGGGGAGGCCCCCCUUUUCGAAAAAAAACAAAUUAAAAUAUAUAUUCCUGUUUUGACCAGAUGAGCGUGCAAACUACAAUCACCAGGGUGUCAGGUAGGGCCAGAAGACUAUUUUAAUUAUUUUUAAAAAAACUUCGAGACGGCCACAUAGCAUGGAGCCGACCCCAACGAUUUUAAGCUUACAGGCACGAUACACGCUAUCCUAGACUACUCUACACAUGAAACUGCCACACGAGCGUCCGGGCUGCGCUUGGCUCUUCGCCUCUUCGGGAAGUCGAACAAUGAUGGAGUACUACUGCAUUGGAGGAGCACUACAGUAUGCUUCUGGCCAUCUGACACCGAUUGAACUGUUGCAUGUCCACCGUGUGCGGGAGGGAGAGCGUGUAGCGAAAGCUUCUCCUAGUCUUGCCAGCCACCACGCUCAUGGGCGAGGGAGGGACGCUCCUGCCUUUGCGUGUAUGACAGGUGGGCCCGACAGGUGUGUGGCCAACCUGUCAUACAGCCAAAGGCAGGUGCAGUUAAGUCCGCGAGGGAGAGGAUAAUCAAACUUCUCGUUGAUGUACGAGUUGACGCGACACAUCAAAGCACUGCACUCAAUAUAUUUCAAUAAUUUGCGUUUACCAAUGCAUUAAUUACAAUGCAUGCAUGCAUGCCAUGACUCUCCUUUUGAUACUUGCAUGUGUUGAUUUAAUGCACCUUGAAGUAGUAUAAAAUAUGUGACGGUAAAGCUUUGUAAUACCCCGGCCCAAGUCGAGAGAUGGUUGUGCACGAGGAGGGCGAGAUCAUGCAGACCGAACAGGACCCGACGAUGGAGCUCUCUAAGGUCUCGAUGGACCUCACCAUGCUCCACUGCCCCUUGUGCCUCCGCCCCUUGAAUUGUGGUUUCUCAACGAGUUGUGCUGAACUUCUUGUGAAUUGUGGUGGUUUUCAGUAAUGAAAAUCGGAAGGGGCAAGCCCUUCUUUGAUCAAAAAAAAAUUUAAUCGUCCUUAUAUAUUCAUCAGUCUUGCUAUAAGUCGCAGUAGAUGCUAUAUAGGUCCGUCGGAUCUUACAUCAAGAUCCGUGCUUUCAGAUUUUCUUUUUUCUCUCUUAAAUCUCAGUUGAGUGAGACAUAGCCACACCAUUAAACAGAGGCUCGGGCACCAUUAAUGGAGACCUUGGGAGAGAGGUGGACGGCAGAUGGAGGUCAAAGGGCUCUCCUCCCGAUAAGCACGCGUAGGGGUCUGAUCGCACGCCUCUCGUACUCAAAUAGCUACCCUGCACGGCGCCUCCUAGCUAAUAAAAAAUGGGGACGCGUGGCGGCACGUAAAUGGUACUAGUAAGUAGAACGCCCACGGUUUCAAUAAUACUUGUGUUUCCGAUUGUAACGUGACAGCACUUGUUCCAAAAUGACUUUGUUGAUUGUUAAUGUGUGCGCCUUCGCAAAUCGGACUGCAAAUUUACCACAGCAUGUUGGUGCCAUGUCAUGGCACCAAGCCAAGUUUCAUUAUUUUCAUGCGUGUUUUGGAUUUACAGGAAUUAAAAAACUAAGUUUCUCAAUGUUUCCAACCCAGCCACGAUGCCCAGAAUUUUGAAUUUCAUUCCCAUUUCUUGCAUAGAACCUAGAAAUUUACCCGAGGACACACAGGUGAUUUUUCAACCAACUUUGGUGCACUGGAACAUGUGCUUGUAUUUCAAAUUUGAAUUAUGCACACAAAGGUGACACGUUCCCUCCCAGAACCACGAGCCUUCUUGAGAGAAGCUCCGAUUUGCAAGAAGCUUAUACCAAAAUUUGUUCCUAUUCGGCCAAUUUUUUUACCACGGCAUGGUACUACCAUGACAUGACACCAUGCCAAGUUUCAUGAUUUUAAAACCAACUUUCUCAAUGUUCUCGACCGAGCCACGAUGCCCAGAUGUUUGAAUUUUAUUCUCAUUUUUUGCAUGGGACCUACUCCCUCCUUCCAUCUAUAUAGGGCCUAAUGUGUUUUUCAAGACAGCCUUUGACUAUUAACAAGAUUAAUAGCACAUGAGAUGUAUACUAUGAAAAUUAUAUUAUUGGAAGCUCCUUUGACAUACAAAUUUGAAGGUAUGCUUUGUGUAAGUUGCAUCUCAUAUAUUAUUGCUCUAACGUUUGGUCAAAGUUAGCCUCAAAAAACGCAUUAGGACCUAUAUAGAUGGAAGGAGGGAGUAGAAAUUCACCCGAGGACACAAAUGUGAUUUUUCAACCAACUUUGGUGCACGGGAGCAUGUGCUUGUAGUUCAAAUUUGAAUUAUGCACAUUAAAUGACCAAAAACUCAAUUAAUGUGUAAAUAAGGCCAAACGAAGCCGGAAUAAUUCCAAAAUUUAACAGGGCACUCAUGUAGUUCUAUGUUGCCUUUGUAAAUAAACUCAAGGGGGACAACGUAUAUCGUUUCGCACUCAAAGGUGGCACGUUCCCUCUCAGAACCACGAGCCUUCUUGAGAGAAGCUUCGGUUUGCAAGAAGCUUAUACCAAAAUCUGUUCCUAUUCGGCCAAUUUUUUUACCACAACAUGGUAGUACCAUGACAUGACAUCCAUGCCAAGUUUCAUGAUUUUCAGACGUGUUUUGGAUUUACAAGAAUUUUAAAACCAAGUUUCUCAAUGUUCUCGGCUGAGCCACGAUGCCCAGAUGUUUUAAUUUUAUUCUCAUUUCUUGCAUGGGACCUAGAAAUUCACCCGAGGACACAAAUGUGAUUUUUCAACCAACUUUGGUGCACGAGAGCAUGUGCUUGUAGUUCAAAUUUGACUUAUGCACAUUAAAUGACCAGAAACUCAAUUAAUGUAUAAAAAACGACAAACGAACCCGGAAUAAUUCCAAAAUUUAAUAGGGCACUAAUGUAGUUCUAUGUUGCCUUUGUUAAGAAACUCAAGGGGGGGCAGCGUAUAUCGUUUCACACUCAAAGGUGGCACGUUCCCUCUUAGAACCACGAGCUUCCAAAUCGGCCCAAUUUUUUACCACAACAUGUUAGUGCCAUGACAUGACACCAUGCCAAGUUUCAUGAUUUCCAGGCGAGUUUUGGAUUUACAUGAAUUUAAAAUCAAAGUUUCUCGAUGUUCUCGGCCGAGUCAUGAUGCCCAGAUGUUUGAAUUUCAUUCUCAUUUCUUCCAUGGGACCUAGAAAUUCAACCAAGGACACACAUGUGAUUUUUCAACCCACUUUGGUGCACCGGAGCAUGUGCAUGCAAUUCAUAUUUAGAUUAUGCACAUUAAAAGUCCAGAAACUCAAUUAAUAUUUUAGUCAUUUUUUGUGUUCUAAAAUGCCUGCCGGCUCGCGGAAGGACGUGUUGCCGGCACACGCGCGGAUUCAAUGAAGGCAGGCGGGGCAGUCUUAAGCUGGUUACACGCGGCGAGGAGGCGUGCUCAGCCGGGCCUGCAGCGAGUGCGGCCCUCUUGGCCGGCGCGCCGGUUCAAUGCCUGCGCUAUGAGAGGUCGCGUCCGUGUCAGAGCAAUCACUCCCUCCGGUCCUUUUUUGUUUGGGUAUAACAAAAUCUCAUUUUCCAUUCACAUUUUACAAGUAAAAUUCGUGGACAAACUUUGACCCAAAGUACGAUGGGGACUAGUAAACCAGAAUGGAGGUAGUAGUUUUUUUAAUCAAAGAAGGGUUUCCCCUUCCGAUUUUCAUUACUGAAAACCAGCAUCUAAAUCUAAACCAUAGUAUUUGCCCUAGAACUACCAGGUUCAACAUCUCGCAACAUAAACCCAUACAACCUCCAUCGCAAAAAAACCAUACAACCAUACGCCAAGGAGGUACGUAGUACUAUGAAUUCCAUUUGCGCUCAUACCAAUCGUUCUAAAAACUACUUACUACUUAUAACGCGCCAUUGAAAAUCGGAACUCUUAACCCCGCUAAAAAAUGAUAUUUUAAAUGUGGCUACUCGAUCUGUGGCAACUGGCGAGCCACCGCGCUCCAAGUCGUUCACCUGUGGUCCCGAGUCCCGACCAUCAACUCCUACGGAUCAAAUUAUCACGCGAGCUGACUAUUCCUACAAAGGUGCUCCACCACGUACCCGGUACCCGCGAAUGCAGCAAUUGUGCACCUAGGGUUUUAGGGUUUAUUUGUUAACGUCGCCUUUACGUAACACUCAUGUGUGCGAGACAGCGAGAGGCCGACUGCGUGCGUGCGCCUCUUCUCUUUGUAUAUGUACUCCACCGUUUGCCUGGUGUCCAAACAAUUAUAAUAACUACUAGCAAUGUGCCAAUGCGUUCCCACACGAUCAAAGUAGAUUAAUACAUAUUCACCGAUUUGAUAGGAAAAAAAGUCUAGUUUUGAAAUACGUAUAUCACUAAAAAUAUGUUAUGUUUCACUCAAAAUAUAUUCCUUUGGCGGUUUUGAUGAGAUAAGGGAGGAAUGUUGUUGGUUUCAAGAUUUGAGAAGUGGUAUAUGUCUAAUUUCUACUCUUACUAGCAAGAUGCCCGUGCGUUGCACGGAACAUCAAGAUCUUGUGGGAGAAAAGGAUGAACGAGGGAAGGCCUUAUCUGCAAAUGUGGUGAAGAGUGCGGGUAAAUUGCCAUAUUUUCCUUCCUAUCCGUCAGAUAUAAAUCGGACGACCUACAUUGCAGGAUGGCAGGCCCACCAUCAUCACCAACUCUAUUUUUUAUCCCUACUCUUAUAAAAAGCAUUGUCGGUGAUGAUCGUGUGCCUGCCAUCCUGCAAUAUAGGCCGUCCGAUCUAUAUCUGACGGAUAGGAAGGAAACUAUGGCAAUUUUGCAAAAAUAUACCCACACCCCUCUCCACAUUUGCAAAUAAGGCCUUCCCUCGUUCAUCCUUUUCCCCCACGAGAUAAACUACUCAUACAAAUGCAUCUUGAUGUUCCGUGCAACGCAUGGGCAUCUUGCUAGUUGUUGCAAAAAGCCCAUGUGUGUGUGAGAGAGAGGGAGAGUGGAGGAGGACGGAGUGCAUGUGUGACAAAGACAUAAGGAGUGUGUGUGCGAUAGGUAUCAGCUUAAAAUGAGGCGAUAGUGUGUGUGUGUGUGCACGAUCGAGAGGGCGUGUCUCAAGAAGGGAAGAAAAAUCUACAUAGAUACAAGGAGCGGGAGAGAGACAUGUAUGCGAUGGUGGAAGCACGAGUGUGCGGGUGUAUAGACCUAUCUAGAGGCUAGCUAGUCGAUAAAUGUUUGUGAGAGAAAUACGAGUCGGGGUGCGAAAGCGAGAGUUUUGUGUGUGUGAGAGAGAGACGGUAGUCGGGAAGGGGAGUGGAAGCAGGAGUUGUGUGUGUGUCUGUGAGAGAGAGAGAGAGAGGAGAUAGUAGUCGGGGUUGUCUGAUCGGUAAACAAAUGAAUAAUGUCAGUCUGGGAUGGAGACGAAAAGGAGACCGCAACAAAUGUUGUGUCUACAGGAGAGAGAGAGUAAUUUUAGUGGUAUGAGUCAUAUGUAGAGACAUAUAGGGUGUGUGAGAGAAUCCCAUAGAGAGAAAGACAAAGUGAAAGACGAGUGGAGACUGUAUGUGUGGCGGUGAAAAAGAAAGCUUAGGUACCGAGUGAUACCAGAGAACAGUAGAGACGUGAGAGAUAAUGAAAACCGUGUAAUGUAUAAUGAUAGGGAGAGUGUGACACUUCUCAAGGGAGACGUCGAGAGACCAUGUUUGCGAGGAUAGGAGAAACAUGAAGUGAGCGUGCGGGUGAGCUGGAGAAAAGAGAGUGAUAGCUACAUGAAGGAGCAUGCAUGCGAGAGAGAUGGGCGUGAAAGGAGUGAACAAAAAAGGGAUUCAAAUAUUUGAAUUCGAGAUGAUGAUACAUGUAAUCCAUACUCGAACCAAAAUUGAUCUAUCAAACAUGCAUACUCAUAUGAAUUCACGCACAUCUAUGUUAUUUAAUAUGUAGAUAUUACUGAUCCAUACAUUUUAGUAGAACAUAAUUUGGUUAAAAAAAUUCGAAUUCAACCUUAAGAUUUUGAGAUCGUUGUAUUUGUAAAUCAUAUUAUACAUAUAAAGGAGCAUAAUUCUUUGUUGUGCUUUUGAAAGUAUAUAUAAAAAAAUGAUGUAUAUAGAAUGUAAUUCCAAUUGAAAAUGGAUCCCGCCCGGAAAAAAAUAGAAUACAAACGGGAUUCGAAUUGAGUUGGCAGGGUAAACAUGCACUCUGCAAAAUUUGAACGAAGCGGGGAAAGUCGCAGUAACCGCCCGAAACCAAAAUCUGCGAGAUGGAAAUCACUACUGCCUAUCCCUGCCACGCAAAGCCUAUCUGCUGGAUUUCUAUAGGUUUUGAUAGGGGUAGGUUUGUAAUUUCACCCAAACGUGACGUAACCGCCUCUCACCCAGAUUCAUACACGGUGGGCGCCAAAACACAGUGUGUCCUCGGCCGAAAUCGAGUCCCUCCCCGAUUCAUAUUCAUACACGGUGGGCACCAAAAACAAACUCUCGUCGGCAAAUAUUCGGUGUAUGCGAGAUUACCGUCCUAUCCCCAACUGACUAAUGUUGCUGUGAUGUAGUAGAAAUUUGAAACGGGGGCUAAGUUUGUAAAUUUCCUCGCAUUUGAGACAAGCGCGCCCUGAAUACAUGGUUCCCCCCUUCCUCUCUACCUCCCUUUUCAACAUUCGUACUCCGUGGGCGCCAAAACACCCUCUCCACCCCACCCUCCUCCGUCCGCCGCCGUCCGCCACCCCAUCCACCGCCGUCCUCCUCCACCAUGCCGGAGCUGAUACCCCGACGCCGCCGUCCAUUACAAGAGAUCGACCUCUCUCAUCCAUGGCUUCGGACCGGGAUCCUUGCAUCCCGUCCUCUCGCUUCAUCCCCGCCGUCGUCCACCUUGCCGGCGCCGCUCCUACGAUCGUCUCGUCCAUCGCGCCCCGUUGCCACCGUCUACCCUCCUAGAUCUGCUUCCACGCCGCCGACAGCCAUUGCUACCGCAGCACCGUCAAAUUCUCAGCAGAUGCAUACACGGCGCCGCACCAGAGGCGGUACUCUUUCGUAUCUGCUCAACUUAUUUAUCGCAGCAAGAAAAUAGAUCGCCACUGCUUUACUCUGAUUUCUUGUCUUGGUUGCGAAGUUGCCUUUGUCCGGUUUGCACCUUCAGAUCCGCCAUGGCACGCUCAACACUAUACUCCCAAUGCUUAUGGUUUUCCCCUUUUAUAUUCCACACUAGUUAAAUCAAAGUAGACUAAAUUUCAAAAUUGGGUCAGUCGAUUUUUCAGAGCUCGCGGGAGUUCGCCGGUGCGAUCGAAGGGGCUCGAGUGGUUGGGGCCUCGCCGAACAAAGAAAACUCGACGCGGGUGGGGGUUGGGGCGGGGGUGGGGGUGGCGGAGGAACACAGGCGAUGGGGGCCGGUGGUCCGGCCGGCGGCCCGUGCGGUGUUCUGUAUGGGAAGAAUCAAAGACGAGGAAGAAGAAGGGUUAGGAGACGUAGGAUCUUCAUCCAACCGCCUGAAAUGGUCGAGAGACAGUUGGGAGUUGCAUUCUUAAUGCGCUCUGGUUCAUCAUGUGUGGGCACUGCGCAACCAACAUUUUAUUAUCCAAAAUCUGCUUGCUCUUCUUUACCAUGUUCCUCUUCCGUUCUUCUUUAAUAUGUACUCUCUCCGUUCCUAAAUACAAGUCUUUGUAUAGAUUCCACCAUGGACUACAUAUGGAGCAAAAUGAGUGAAUCUACACUCUAAAAUGUAUCUGGAUACAUCUGUAUGUGAUCCAUAGUGGCAAUCUCUACCAAGACUUAUAUUUUGGAACGGAGGGAGUAUGAUAGUAGUACAGUAUGUUCCUUGUACUGAAGAUGAGCAGGGACAUUUGCAGUGUCGAGGUCUAUACGGUCGGUUGUGAUGGACACUUUGAGCCUCUUUGAUUCGUAGGAUCUUGUAAACAUAGGAAUAGGAUUUGUAGUGGCCUGCCCACUUGAAUCCUAUAAGAAUAGCAAGGAAAUGUGGGGAGUUGUGUCGCCUUUGAGAGUUACACUGAUAUUAACAGUACCGCACCUUCACUUGAAGAGAGCUGGUAUCCGAAGCCUUUCUAGCCGUACCGGCAAUACUAGCACAUAUAUUCCAGCAAGUUCCACUUUGCUGAUUUUACUCUGAUGCUUAAGGUUUUCCCGUUAUAUCUACACUAUGAUCUGUGUAGCUGCUUUGUGUCGCACUAGCAGCAGUCCACUCUUGAAGCUAAACACUGCAAUGACUUACAAAAUUGGCACCAAGGCAUUGAGUGCCAUUCUGUAUGCAUUGAAACUCAUACGCUCCCCACCUGUUGAUUCUUGUUCAGAAUAUGAUCCUAAUGACUAUUCUAACCUCGAGGAGUCAAAGGCAGAUGGCCUGUCCUGUUCACCCAUCAAGGUGCCUAUUCUAAUUUGGCAAUGUUUUAUUGAUUGCGGGUAUCUUGCAUAUGUUGUCUUGCAUUUCUUCUACUUUGUUGCACCGCCAUCUGCUUAGUUCACUCAUCAUAUAUGUCGAGAUGCCAUGCCCAUCCAUUAUCAAUACAUAUUCCAUCUGUCAUCAUACCAUGUUUUUCCACUCAAAUGCUGUUCUUGUGCAUCAGACAUCAAAAAGGAAGAGGGUUAUUACCGAACCUGAAGGAGCACCAGCAAAGUCCUUGAAAAACGUGGUGGUGCCGGAGAAAUCAGACAUCACCCCACUUAUAUUAGUUGUACAACCAGUGACACAAAACGUAGGACCGACUCCAGCAGACUGUACCCAUACUUCACUGGCCACACCACUAGCCCCACCACACGGGACCUGCACUCCAGCAAAAGGUAUACCGAUUUCAUUUUCCAUAGCACCAGCUGUACCACAGAAAAAUCCCACUCCAGCAAAAAGUACAGCAAGUCCACCGGCCGAAGACCUAUCCCAACUGCAGAGACGGCCAAUUCUUGCAGAUUGGAACCACAUUCCAUUUAUUCCCAGUUUAAAAGACAAUGCUUUCAAUGUUGUUAGGGACUACGUGCAUAUAUUCCCAUCAUGGGAAGAUUAUUGUGAAGACAAACACCAUUUUCACAUCUUCCUGUCCAACUUACGUGUAAGUGCCAUUAUUCAUGGUUAUUAUUUUCCUGUUUUCUGCUGAUUGAACACAUCAAUGAUUUACAUUACAUUGUUGUAACUAGGCGAGGGUCAAUCUGGAUAGUCAUGACGAGCAAAGCUUGCUUGUGCUUUUCAAGGAAGCAUUGCAGCAGUAUCGGUGUUACCUGAGGAAAUCACACUUUGAUGGCAAGUCUAUAAACGAAUUUCCGGUGAAGUCUCCUGUGCUAAAUUUAGAAGACAUUGAAUGGAAAAACCUUGUUAUGCAGUGGUCUCGUUCCCAGGAUGAGGUACUGUCUAUGAAAUCACAUGACAAUUUGAACUUCUACUUUUCCGCAUGUGCCUUACGGAUCUUUUUUGCAGGAAAUCUGCUCGAAGAAGAAUUCCGGUUUGACAAGAACGAUAGGAUAUCGCAAAUAUGCUGCCCGCUGCUUUGCUCUUGUUAGUACAUGUUGUCCUGUAUCACUGUACUUGCAUACAUACCUGGUUCAUUAUGUGACAGCAGUAUGCAUGAUAGCUUGCUUAUCAAUUGUUCGCUCCAAAUUAUCUGAUCUGUAUGAAUGGUUACAUUAGUGUAGAAUAUAUCCAAUGCCAAUGUUUUUUUAGCUCUGCAUUGUUCUUGUAAGUACAUGCUGUCCUUUAUCAGUGUACUUAUACUGACAGGUAGUUGUUCAUGUACCAUCACUCUGCAGCUUAUUUUCCUUUGCCCUCCAUUUUCUACACAUCAGAUCUAUAUUUACUCUUACCAUAAGGUUGGUACUGAAGAAGUUUAGCUGUGCAUUGCUCUUGGCUAUACCUUUUGCCUGUAUCGCUGCACUUACAUUUAUAGCUACUUGGUUAUGUAGCAUCACUCUUCAUCUUAUCUUAAAUAUUCUCCAUUUUCUCGCAUAUUAUCACAUCUAUAUUUACUCUUAACAAAAUGUAGAAUAAAGGCAAUGCUUUUGAAGAAGAUUCUGUGGUAAACUUCUUGAAUUGCCCCCCCAUCAGCAUGGACAAGGCCUUUAUAGAGCCUGUCUUCACCAAUAAUGUAAGUUUGUCCAUCUCAAGCCUUCAAAAUUUGUUGUAUAUAUUUGGUUAGGCAUGACUGCAACAGCUGUUUAUUUUUGGUGUUUGCAUCAAAUUGCUUGUUUAAACUUUAUUAUGUAGUUCAUAAACAAAAGUUUGUCCUUUCUCAAUUUAAGUUUUCAGUUGUACAACCAAGUUCCUUCUUCAUACCAUGUAAAUUAAACUAUACAGAGCAAGUGAUCUUCUUUUGCACUGCAUGUAUGCUUCUGUUCUUCAUCCGUAAUCCAGUGGUGUGGUGAACCUACCCACUACAGCACAAUGUCAUAUUCUGCAAUGUCUUAACUAUGAACAAUGUCAUAUCAUUCUACUAUUAUUUAAACCGUCUCUUUAUUUGCCAAUCUGAAAUGGUAUAAAUUGACAGCACACUAACCAUUGAUACUUAUGAGUUCUUGAUCUAUAAUCCAGUGGUGUCGUGAAGCUACCAACUCCUUCACAAUGUCAUUUCCUGCCAUGUCUUGACCUGAACAAUACCAUAUUGUGUUAAUGCAAUUUUAAACUGUGUCACUUUAUUCGUCAGUAAGAAAUGUGAUGAAUUGUCAGCACUGAUACUUUUAUGUGCAAAACAUGUCUUAUGUCUGCUUGUUUAUCUUUCAGAGUGAGGAAGAUAUAAGUGUUGAACAAGCGCAGUCUCAUCAUCUUGCUCAGCUGCUUGCGCUGCAGCUCCCCAGCAGGGCUAACCUUUCUUGAACUCUAUUGAAGUGCUGUCGGUUUUGUAUAUUAUUUUGUCGGCGUGUUUAUUUGCACUGGUGGCGAUCUUUGAUGCCCAGUGUAUGUAAUCUGCUGUCUGCUUGUGCUUUAUUAUCAUAGCGGCGAACUUUGAUGCCAAGUGGAUGUAAUAUGCCGUAAUUUCUUUAUUGUAUAGUCUAGAUUUUUUCUUAUUCACGAUGCUGCAGUUAUUUUACUGUAUAUAUAUCCUGUCUUCGCAGUACACUGGCCAAACCGUAAAAUUUCGGUACAUAAUCGGGCCGUCAUGCAAUCACGAUGUAGGUUGGGCCUGAAACAUGCCGAACAGCUCACGGGCCGGCAGCAGCCCGAAAUGAACCCCGGCCCAUGAUUAUGUGAAUCAAAUCACGGGCUUUUAACAGGCCAAAAUUGUCUCGGUCCUUGUUUGACCCAAUCAGAUAUCGGCUGCGAGCAGGCCGGAUGCAAACCGGGCCGUAGUUAGUGUUGGAAAUAUGCCCUAGAGGCAAUAAUAAAUGGUUAUUAUUAUAUUUCUUUGUUCAUGAUAAUUGUCUAUUGUUCAUGCUAUAAUUGUGUUAUCCGGAAAUCGUAAUACAUGUGUGAAUAUAUAGACCACAACGUGUCCCUAGUAAGCCUCUAGUUGACUAGCUCGUUGAUCAACAGAUAGUCAUGGUUUCCUGACUAUGGACAUUGGAUGUCAUUGAUAACGGGAUCACAUCAUUAGGAGAAUGAUGUGAUGGACAAGACCCAAUCCUAAGCAUAGCUCAAAGAUCGUGUAGUUCGUUUGCUAGAGCUUUUCCAUUGUCAAGUAUCUUUUCCUUAGACCAUGAGAUCGUGCAACUCCCGGAUGCCGUAGGAGUGCUUUGGGUGUGCCAAACGUCAGAACGUAACUGGGUGACUAUAAAGGUACACUACGGGUAUCUCCGAAAGUGUCUGUUGGGUUGGCACGGAUCGAGACUGGGAUUUGUCACUCCGUAUGACGGAGAGGUAUCUCUGGGCCCACUCGGUAAUGCAUCAUCAUAAUGAGCUCAAUGUGACUAAGGAGUUAGCCACGGGAUCAUGAAUUACGGUACGAGUAAAGAGACUUGCCGGUAACGAGAUUGAACAAGGUAUUGGGAUACCGACGAUCGAAUCUCGGGCAAGUAACAUACCGAUUGACAAAGGGAAUUGUAUACGGGAUUGAUUGAAUCCUCGACAUCGUGGUUCAUCCGAUGAGAUCAUCGUGGAACAUGUGGGAGCCAACAUGGGUAUCCAGAUCCCGCUGUUGGUUAUUGACCGGAGAGGCGUCUCGGUCAUGUCUGCAUGUCUCCCGAACCCGUAGGGUCUACACACUUACGGUUCGGUGACGCUAGGGUUGUAGAGAUAUUAGUAUGCGGAAACCCGAAAGUUGUUCGGAGUCCCGGAUGAGAUCCCGGACAUCACGAGGAGUUCCGGAAUGGUCCGGAGGUGAAGAAUUAUAUAUAGGAAGUCCAGUUUCGGCCACCGGGAAAGUUUCGGGGGUUAUCGGUAUUGUACCGGGACCACCGGAAGGGUCCCGGGGGUCCAUCGGGUGGGGCCACCUAUCCCGGAGGGCCCCAUGGGCUGAAGUGGGAAGGGAACCAGCCCUUAGUGGGCUGGGGCGCCCCCCCUUGGGCCUCCCCCUGCGCCUAGGGUUGGAAACCCUAGGGGUGGGGGCGCCCCACUUGGCUUGGGGGGGGAAGCCACCCCCCCUUCCCCCUUGGCCGCCCCCCCCCUUGUAGAUGGGUUCUAGGGCUGGCGCCCCCCCUCCAGGGGGCCUAUAUAUAGUGGGGGGAGGGAGGGCAGCAACACCACAGCCCCUGGCGCCUCCCUCUCCCCCUGCAACACCUCUCCCUCUCGCAGAAGCUUGGCGAAGCCCUGCCGAGAUCCCGCUACAUCCACCACCACGCCGUCGUGCUGCUGGAUCUCCAUCAACCUCUCCUUUCCCCUUGCUGGAUCAAGAAGGAGGAGACGUCGCUACUCCGUACGUGUGUUGAACGCGGAGGUGCCGCCCGUUCGGCACUCGGUCAUCGGUGAUUUGGAUCACGGCGAGUACGACUCCAUCAACCCCGUUCAUUGGAACGCUUCCGCUCGCGAUCUACAAGGGUAUGUAGAUGCACUCCUUUCCCCUUGUUGCAAGUAUACUCCAUAGAUGGAUCUUGGUGAUGCGUAGGAAAUUUUAAAAUUCUGCUACGAUCCCCAACAGUGGCAUCAUGAGCCAGGCCUAUGCGUAGUUACUAUGCACGAGUAGAACACAAAGCAGUUGUGGGCGUAGAUGUUGCCAAUUCUUCUUGCCGCUACUAGUCUUAUCUUGUUUCGGCGGUAUUGUGGGAUGAAGCGGCCCGGACCGACCUUACACGUACGCUUACGUGAGACAGGUUCCACCGACUGACAUGCACUAGUUGCAUAAGGUGGCUAGCGGGUGUCUGUCUCUCCCACUUUAGUCGGAACAGAUUCGAUGAAAAGGGUCCUUAUGAAGGGUAAAUAGAAAUUGGCAUAUCACGUUGUGGUUUUACGUAGGUAAGAAACGUUCUUGCUAGAAACCUAUACAAGCCACGUAAAAACUUGCAACAACAAUUAGAGGACGUCUAACUUGUUUUUGCAGCAUGUGCUAUGUGAUGUGAUAUGGCCAGAAGAUGUGAUGAAUGAUAUAUGUGAUGUAUGAGAUUGAUCAUAUUCUUGUAAUAGGAAUCACGACUUGCAUGUCGAUGAGUAUGACAACCGGCAGGAGCCAUAGGAGUUGUCUUUAUUAUUUUGUAUGACCUGCGUGUCAUUGAAUAACGCCAUGUAAAUUACUUUACUUUAUUGCUAAACGCGUUAGCCAUAGAAGUAGAAGUAAUCGUUGGCGUGACAACUUCAUGAAGACACAAUGAUGGAGAUCAUGGUGUCAUGCCGGUGACGAAGAUGAUCAUGGUGCCCCGAAGAUGGAGAUCAAAGGAGCAAAAUGAUAUUGGCCAUAUCAUGUCACUAUUUGAUUGCAUGUGAUGUUUAUCAUGUUUUGCAUCUUAUUUGCUUAGAACGACGGUAGUAAGUAAGAUGAUCCCUUGUGAUAAUUUCAAGAAAGUGUUCCCCCUAACUGUGCAUCGUUGCGAAGGUUCGUUGUUUCAAAGCACCACGUGAUGAUCGGGUGUGAUAGAUUCUAACGUUCGCAUACAACGGGUGUUGACGAGCCUAGCAUGUACAGACAUGGCCUCGGAACACACGCAAUACACUUAGGUUGACUUGACGAGCCUAGCAUGUACAGACAUGGCCUCGGAACACGGAGGACCGAAAGGUCGAGCAUGAGUCAUAUAGAAGAUACGAUCAACAUGGAGAUGUUCACCGAUCUUGACUAGUCCGUCUCACGUGAUGAUCGGACACGGCCUAGUUAACUCGGAUCAUGUUUCACUUAGAUGACCAGAGGGAUGUCUAUCUGAGUGGGAGUUCAUUGAAGAAUUUGAUUAUAUGAACUUAAUUAUCAUGAACUUAGUCUAAAAUCUUUACAAUAUGUCUUGUAGAUCAAAUGGCCCACGUUGUCCUCAACUUCAACGCGUUCCUAGAGAAAACCAAGCUGAAAGAUGAUGGCAGCAAUUAUACGGACUGGGUCCGGAACCUGAGGAUCAUCCUCAUAGCUGCCAAGAAAGAUUAUGUCAUAGAAGCACCGCUAGGUGAAGCACCAAUCCUAGAGAACCAAGACGUUAUGAACGCUUGGCAAUCACGUGCUGAUGAUUACUCCCUCGUUCAGUGCGGCAUGCUUUACAGCUUAGAACCGGGGCUCCAAAAGCGUUUUGAGAAGCAUGGAGCAUAUGAGAUGUUCGAAGAGCUGAAAAUGGGUUUCCAAGCUCAUGCCCGGGUCGAGAGAUAUGAAGUCUCCGACAAGUUCUUCAGCUGUAAAAUGGAGGAAAAUAGUUCUGUUAGUGAGCACAUACUCAGAAUGUCUGGGUUACACAACCGCUUGUCUCAGCUGGGAGUUAAUCUCCCGGAUGACGCGGUCAUUGACAGAAUCCUUCAGUCGCUUCCACCGAGCUACAAGAGCUUUGUGAUGAACUUCAAUAUGCAGGGGAUGGAAAAGACCAUUCCUGAGGUAUAUUCGAUGCUGAAAUCAGCGGAGGUGGAGAUCAGAAAGGAACAUCAAGUGUUGAUGGUGAAUAAAACCACUAAGUUCAAGAAAGGCAAGGGUAAGAAGAACUUCAAGAAGGACGGCAAGGGAGUUGCCGCGCCCGGUAAGCCAGUUACCGGGAAGAAGUCAAAGAAUGGACCCAAGCCUGAGACUGAGUGCUUUUAUUGCAAGGGAAGUGGUCACUGGAAGCGGAACUGCCCCAAAUACUUAGCGGACAAGAAGGCCGGCAACACCAAAGGUAUAUGUGAUAUACAUGUAAUUGAUGUGUACCUUACCAGUACUCGUAGUAGCUCCUGGGUAUUUGAUACCGGUGCGGUUGCUCAUAUUUGUAACUCAAAACAGGAACUGCGGAAUAAGCGGAGACUGGCAAAGGACGAGGUGACGAUGCGCGUCGGGAAUGGUUCCAAGGUCGAUGUGAUCGCCGUCGGCACGCUACCUCUGCAUUUACCUACGGGAUUAGUUUUAAACCUCAAUAAUUGUUAUUUAGUACCAGCUUUGAGCAUGAACAUUGUAUCUGGAUCUCGUUUAAUUCGAGAUGGCUACUCAUUUAAAUCCGAGAAUAAUGGUUGUUCUAUUUAUAUGAGAGAUAUGUUUUAUGGUCAUGCCCCGCUGGUCAAUGGUUUAUUCUUGAUGAAUCUCGAACGUGAUGUUACACAUAUUCAUAGUGUGAAUACCAAAAGAUGUAAAGUUGAUAACGAUAGUCCCACAUACUUGUGGCACUGCCGCCUUGGUCACAUUGGUGUCAAGCGCAUGAAGAAGCUCCAUGCAGAUGGACUUUUGGAGUCUCUUGAUUACGAAUCAUUUGACACGUGCGAACCAUGCCUCAUGGGUAAGAUGACCAAGACUCCAUUCUCUGGAACAAUGGAGCGAGCAACCAACUUAUUGGAAAUCAUACAUACCGAUGUGUGCGGUCCAAUGAGUGUUGAGGCUCGCGGAGGAUAUCGUUAUGUUCUCACUCUCACUGAUGACUUAAGUAGAUAUGGGUAUGUCUACCUAAUGAAACACAAGUCUGAAACCUUUGAAAAGUUCAAGGAAUUUCAGAGUGAGGUUGAGAAUCAACGUGACAGGAAAAUAAAAUUCUUACGAUCAGAUCGUGGUGGAGAAUAUUUAAGUCACGAAUUUGGUACGCACUUAAAGAAAUGUGGAAUCGUUUCACAACUCACGCCACCUGGAACAGCUCAGCGAAACGGUGUGUCCGAACGUCGUAAUCGCACUCUAUUGGAUAUGGUGCGAUCUAUGAUGUCUCUUACCGAUCUACCGCUCUCAUUUUGGGGCUAUGCUUUAGAGACUGCCGCAUUCACUUUAAAUAGGGCUCCGUCGAAAUCCGUUGAGACGACACCGUAUGAAUUAUGGUUUGGGAAGAAACCUAAGCUGUCGUUUCUAAAAGUUUGGGGAUGCGAUGCUUAUGUCAAGAAACUUCAACCUGAAAAGCUCGAACCCAAGUCGGAAAAAUGCGUCUUCAUAGGAUACCCUAAGGAAACCAUUGGGUAUACCUUCUACCUCAGAUCCGAAGGCAAGAUCUUUGUUGCCAAGAACGGGUCCUUUCUGGAGAAAGAGUUUCUCUCAAAAGAAUUGAGUGGGAGGAAAGUGGAACUUGAUGAGGUGAUAGUCACUCCUUCCGAACAUCAAAGUAGCGCAGCGCGGGAAGAUGUUCCUGUGGUGCCUACACCGACUGGGGAGGAAGUUAAUGAUGAUGAUCAUGAAGCUUCGGAUCAAGUUACUGCUGAACUUCGUAGGUCCACAAGGACACGUUCUGCACCAGAGUGGUACGGCAACCCUGUCCUGGAAAUCAUGUUGUUAGACAACGGUGAACCUUCGAACUAUGAAGAAGCGAUGGCGGGCCCGGAUUCCGACAAAUGGCUAGAAGCCAUGAAAUCCGAGAUAGGAUCCAUGUAUGAAAACAAAGUGUGGACUUUGACAGACUUGCCCGAUGAUCGGCGAGCGAUAGAAAACAAAUGGAUCUUUAAGAAGAAGACGGACGCAGAUGGUAAUGUUACCAUCUAUAAAGCUCGACUUGUCGCUAAGGGUUAUCGACAAGUUCAAGGGGUUGACUACGAUGAGACUUUCUCACCCGUAGCGAAGCUGAAGUCCGUCCGAAUCAUGUUAGCAAUUGCCCGAGAUUCGAUUGUCGGUAUCUCAAUACCUAGUUCAAUCUCGUUACCGGCAAGUCUCUUUACUUGUUCCGUAAUGCAUCAUCCCGCAACUAACUCAUUAGUCACAUUGCUUGCAAGGCUUAUAGUGAUGUGCAUUACCGAGAGGGCCCAGAGAUACCUCUCCGACAAUCGGAGUGACAAAUCCUAAUCUCGAUCUAUGCCAACUCAACAAACACCACCGGAGACACCUGUAGAGCACCUUUAUAAUCACCCAGUUACGUUGUAAAAUUUGGUAGCACACUAAGUGUUCCUCUGGUAUUCGGGAGUUGCAUAAUCUCAUAGUCAUAGGAACAUGUAUAAGUCAUGAAGAAAGCAAUAGCAAAUAAACUAAACGAUCAAGUGCUAGGCUAACGGAAUGGGUCAAGUCAAUCACAUCAUUCUCUAAUGAUGUGAUCCCGUUAAUCAAAUGACAACUCAUGUCUAUGGCUAGGAAACUUAACCAUCUUUGAUUCAACGAGCUAGUCAAGUAGAGGCAUACUAGUGAGGCUCUGUUUGUCUAUGUAUUCACACAUGUACUAAAUUUCCGGUUAAUACAAUUCUAGCAUGAAUAAUAAAAGUUUAUCACGAUAUAAGGAAAUAUAAAUAACAACUUUAUUAUUGCCUCUAGGGCAUAUUUCCUUCAGAAGGUGACCGGGAGGCGGAUCUGCCCCAGGGGGCAGGUGGAGCCGUCGACGACCCCGGUGAAGGGUUUGGUGGGGCGGAGCCGGCCAUGAGGCACAUGAAGCAAGCCGAAUGCCUCCAUAGAGAGCACACUGAGGCCGGCUCCACCGUCGAUGAGGGUAUUGGUGACUGCCACAUUGCAGAUGGUGGGGGUGCAGAGCAACGGGAGUGUGCCGACGCCCGCGGUGGUCGCGGGGUGGUCCUUCGGGUCGAAGGUGAGGUCUGCCCUGGGCGCCGCCCAGCCCGGGGAGCCCCAUAUUGCACGCGGGCGGCACCCACCUGGCGACAGAACUGCUUGACGUGGCGGUCCGAGGGUGGCGCCUGCGAAGCACCGAGGAUGGCCGCGACGGCGUGGGGCGCCGGUGCCGCGAAGCGCACGACAAAGAGGCCGCGCAGCUCCUCCCAGGAGGCCACAGAAGAUCCCGGCAAGUUGAGCAGCCAGGCGCGCGCCGCGCCUGCGAGGGCCAUAGGAAGCCAGUUGGCCAUGACCUUGUCGUCGCCGCCGACCGCCAACACAGCCUCCUCGCACGCCUGGAGAAAACCUGUCAGGCCCACCGCGCCGUCGUAUCGGGGCGGCAGCUCCGGCCUGAACUUGGGUGGCCACUGCACCCGCCGCAAGGCGGGGGUGAAAUCUCGGAGGCCCUCGUCUCCUCUGAAGGCGCGCGUCGAUCCGGUCGAUGAAGGAGCGUCCGCGAUGAGAGCCGACAGCGGAGCGCACGCACCCCUACCUGGCGCGCCAAAUGUCGGAUUUCGGGUUCCGCAGACCCUUGAGAGAUUCAAACUCUGGGGUGCGUGCGAAGAAUUCAAUCUCCCCACUCUGCCUACUCGCUGAUCUCACAGCCUAGCUCGACGAACUCAAAGGAAAGGGGACAUGGCAGUUUACCUAGGUUCGGGCCACCUUGCGGUGUAAAACCCUACUCCUGCUUUGUGGUGGAUUGGCCUCGGGAGGCUAAGGAUGAACUAGUACAGUGGGAGAACAACCUCGUGAGGAGGAGUGUUCUUGAGCUCAAGUGGGAUGGUGAGCUGGUUAGGGUGGAAUGGAUCCGAUCCCCUUUAUGGUGGUGGUGUUGGGAACGCGGUAAUUUCAAAAAAAAUCCUACGCACACGCAAGAUCUAUCAUGGUGAUGUAUAACAACGAGAGGGGAGAGUGUUGUCCACGUACCCUCGUAGACCAAAAGCGGAAGCGUUAUGACAACGCGGUUGAUGUAGUCAUACGUCUUCACGAUCCGACCGAUCCUAGUACCGAAAGUACGACACCUCCAUGAUCUGCACACGUUCGGCUCGGUGAUGUCCCACGAACUCUUGAUCCAGCUGAGUGUCGAGGGAGAGCUUCGUUAGCACGACGGCGUGAUGACGGUGAUGAUGAAGCUACUGGCGCAGGGCUUCGCCUAAGCACUGCAACGAUAUGACCGAGGUGGAUUAUGGUGAAGGGGGGCACCGCACACGGCUAAGAGAUCAAUGAUCAACUUGUGUGUCUAUGGGUGCCCCUGCCCCCGUAUAUAAAGGAGCAAGGGGGGAGGCCGGCCAGCCCUAGGGAGCGCCAAGGAGGGGAGGAGUCCUCCUCCCCUCCGGAGUAGGACUCCCCCUUUCCUAGUCCAACUAGGAGGGGGAAGGGGGAAGGAAGGAGAGGGAGGGAAAGAGGGGGCGCCGCCCCCCUCCUUGUCCAAUUUGGACUCCUCAAGGGGGGGGGACGCGUGGCCAGCCCUAAGGCCCCCUCCUCUCUCUCACAAGGCCCAUGUUGUCCCAUUAGUUCCCCGGGGGGUUCCGAUGACCCUCCGGCACUCCGAUAAUCAUCCGGUGACCCCCGGAACUCAUCCGGUGUUCGAAUAUAGUCAUCCAAUAUAUCAAUCUUUAUGUCUCGACCAUUUCGAGACUCCUCGUCAUGUCCGUGAUCACAUCCGGGACUCUGAACUAUCUUCGGUACAUCAAAACACAUAAACUCAUAAUACCGAUCGUCAUUGAACGUUAAGCGUGCGGACCCUACGGGUUCGAGAACUAUGUAGACAUGACCGAGACACAUCUCCGGUCAAUAACCAAUAGCGGAACCUGGAUGCUCAUAUUGGCUCCUACAUAUUCUACGAAGAUCUUUAUGGUCAAACCGCAUAACAACAUACGUUGUUCCCUUUGUCAUCGGUAUGUUACUUGCGCGAGAUUCGAUCGUCGGUAUCCUCAUGCCUAGUUCAAUCUCAUUACCGGCAAGUCUCUUUACUCGUUCCGUAAUGCAUCAUCCCGUAACUAACUCAUUAGUCACAAUGCUUGCAAGGCUUAUAGUGAUGUGCAUUACCGAGAGGGCCCAAAGAUACCUCUCCGAUACACGGAGUGACAAAUCCUAAUCUCGAUCUAUGCCAACUCAACAAACACCUUCGGAGACACCUGUAGAGCAUCUUUAUAAUCACCCAGUUACAUUGUGACGUUUGAUAGCACACAAGGUGUUCCUCCGGUAUUCGGGAGUUGCAUAAUCUCAUAGUCAGAGGAACAUGUAUAAGUCAUGAAGAAAGCAAUAGCAAUUAAACUAAACAAUCAUUAUGCUAAGCUAACGGAUGGGUCUUGUCCAUCACAUCAUUCUCUAAUGAUGUGAUCCCGUUCAUCAAAUGACAACACAUGUCCAUGGCUACGAAACUUAACCAUCUUUGAUUAACGAGCUAGUCAAGUAGAGGCCUACUAAGGACACUCUGUUUUAUCUAUGUAUUCACACAUGUAUCAAGUUUCCGGUUAAUACAAUUCUAGCAUGAAUAAUAAACAUUUAUCAUGAAAUAAGGAAAUAAAUAAUAACUUUAUUAUUGCCUCUAGGGCAUAUUUCCUUCAGGUGGCUAGGUCCUAUUUAUAGUGGCCUUGGUCCUCUUCCCAGAUGAAGGCGGGAAGGGAUCCCACAAUGGCAAAAUUCGAAGGGGGACAACUAGUACAUGCUAUCCUGACAAAAGUUGUCUUCGCCUGCAAAAGCCUCUGGUCGUGAUGCCGUGGUGGGCUCGACGAUGACCUCUGUCCUGCCGUCCUGGCGGUCUUGGUCUUGUUGCACGAGAAUGAAAACCUUUGGUUGAUUCCUCGGGACUCCGCGCCUGCGCUUGCCUCCUUAGCACCAAAGAGGAAACUGGUACUCUGCACCCCUAGUGCCCGCCCGGCCUUGGUCGUCAUGGCUCACGUCAUCUGAACCUCACGAGGCACGGCUUGCAUAGAGAUCUCCGCUCCUCGGGAGCCAGCCUGCGGAGGCAGCUCCUCGUGGAGGUCUUGGUGUCGUCCGCCUCGCGAGGCUUGGCCCCUCGCGAGGGUCUUGAGUUGUUGACAUUGAAGCUGGGCCAUACCAGGCCGUCGAUGGAGCCACGCCGUGGGUCGCAGGCAGGCAAGUCUGGGUACCCCCGUUCCCAGAACGCCGACACCGACAGUGUCGGGUAGUUCGCCUCCUGGAGGAGGUACGCCUCCCACUCGUGAAGGUGGCGGCGGCCAAAGCCGUUGGCCGUUGCUCCGUCGCCAGGGAAAAUUUCGGCCAUCGGUGACUUGAGACGGGGAAAGAGAGGAUGUCAACGGCGGGGAGAGAGGACGUCGGUGGCGAGCGAGAGAGAGGCUGUGGCGAGGGAGUGUGCGGCCAGCGGCAAGGAAGGGUGGCUUUUAUAGCGGCGAGUGGGCGGCGAGCGGGCGGCAACAAUGUGGACGCGUGGUGGGAGGGAGCGGGAUGCACAGCGACGCGCCUUCACUGCGCCGCGGGUGAAUCAUUGGAAGCUGACAGGCGGCAGCCUUCACAUUGAUUCCCACGGGAAACUGAGGCGCCGAGGACGACGAACGUGCCCAGUCGCUGACUCGGCAGGUCCACCAGGUUUGGCGCCAAAAUAGUUUCGCCCGGUGCCCUAGGGCGCCCCCCAUCGCGCCCGGUUCGGUGUGGUUCCGCCAGCGCCAAUUUCGACCCUAACCGACGAAAUUUGGGCUCCUGGGACGCGACUGAGCCGAUUUUUUUUAGCCGGCGAUAAAAAGGACCUGAAGGGGCCUGUUGGGGGGGAGCGGAGAUGCUCUAAGGAGCGGGAGCUUUUAAUAUCCACCUCUCCCGCCUUCUUCUUCUUCGUGGCACCCCUUUUCCUUUCAAUUUUAAUAGUAACAAUUUUCAUCAAUUAAAUGAACAACUAUGUAGAUUAUUCGUAUUUACUUUUUAUGGGGGAAGCUCAAGUUCAUGGUGUUCCCACAACUUUUUCAAUCUUGCUGCCACAAAGUCCUAUCGCCAUUGUAGAGAAAAUACUUUAAAAAUUGUAUUUAAACACAGUACUCGCAUGCGUAAAAUUCAAAUAAAAAAUACACCUAAACAACAUGAGUAUGAGUAUAUGGAAAAAUAUAUCAUCUGCGGCAUCCAUUCUCCGAAAUCAAAUCUUGUCGUUCCGAUAUCUUUGGACGAUGAUAACUGCCACACAUGUGGGCGUUAAGGGGUCUGCCCACAUGUUUUGUGUGGUGUCUAAGAGGACCAAUCCACACGCCUAUGUGUUGGCAAAACAACUAGCGCCCACAUGCCUCUUUUUUUCUUUGCGGUCCCUCUCACACGCCUACGUGUGGGCAAAAUGCAUAACGCCCACACGACCUCUCUCAGCCACCUACCUCACGGCCCCGCACGCCCCGCGUGACAAUCACCACGCGUCCCCGCAGUUGCCAUGGUCCGGACCCUCUUCAAUGUCCGUUUACCUGCAGUUGACAUGUCGCUGAACUACAGUUGUCAAGUCGGACAACUACAGUUGUUAUGGUUGCUCAACUGCAGUUGUCAUCUCAGGUCAAGUGCCAGAUGCCAUUUUGGACAAUUGCAGUUGUUGCCAUGUAUGGUCUGAUUUACUAUAGUUGCCAUGAUUUGAAAACUUUAGAGGUUGCCACCUGCUAACACUAAGCAGUUGCCAUGUAUGGUCUAGUUGACUACAGUUGCCAUGAUUUGAAAACCUUAGAAGUUGCCACCUACUAACACCAGGUAGUUGCCGUGUAGCGCUACAAAGAGACAUGGCAAAACAACAUGUUUGGGUAAAAGAGAGAGUUGCCAUCUGCUUACAAGAACACUAGGACAGUUGCCGUGUACCCUGCAAAACACAUGACAACUGACAUGUUUGGGUAAAAAAAGAGAGAGUUGACAUCUGCUUACAAGCACACUAGGGCAGUUGCGAUAUAUACUUCAGAACGCAUGGCAACUGGCAGCUUGGGUGUGGGAGAGGAGACGGAUGUGUGGGCGAGAUGACAAAUGCCCACACACCAGCCCUUGUGCGUGAGUGAAAACUGGCGUGUGGGCGAACUGCUAAACGCCCACACACCGACCCGCCGUGUGGUAAAACGGACGUGUGGGCGACCAGGUGAAUGCCCACACAUCAACCCAGUCUUACGUGGCACCACAAACAUGCCAAGAUUCGUGCACCCAUAAACGGACGCGGAUUCACGCGUGUCGACAAGAUGCAAACGCCCACACAUGUGGGCGUUAGUGUUUCCGAUAUCUUUUGCUUGUCUUUUUGAAAACAAAACAAAACAAAUGCCGUCCACGUUUUUUGCCACCACAGCUAUAUACGCACACCCCUAAAAAAGAAGAUAUAACAAAAAAAAAAAACGCACCGCAGCAAAUCUGGAUCGUUGCAAGCAACAUCGAACGGUUCAUACGACGCCAUGUCACGGAUCCGCGGCACCCACGAAUCCACCAAUCAGCGCUACCUCCCUCUCACUAUAAACCUAGCACCGUGCUCCUUCUUUCCCCAAUUCCANNNNNNNNNNNNNNNNNNNNNNNNNNNNNNNNNNNNNNNNNNNNNNNNNNNNNNNNNNNNNNNNNNNNNNNNNNNNNNNNNNNNNNNNNNNNNNNNNNNNNNNNNNNNNNNNNNNNNNNNNNNNNNNNNNNNNNNNNNNNNNNNNNNNNNNNNNNNNNNNNNNNNNNNNNNNNNNNNNNNNNNNNNNNNNNNNNNNNNNNNNNNNNNNNNNNNNNNNNNNNNNNNNNNNNNNNNNNNNNNNNNNNNNNNNNNNNNNNNNNNNNNNNNNNNNNNNNNNNNNNNNNNNNNNNNNNNNNNNNNNNNNNNNNNNNNNNNNNNNNNNNNNNNNNNNNNNNNNNNNNNNNNNNNNNNNNNNNNNNNNNNNNNNNNNNNGGCCCCCAAGGCGGAGAAGAAGCCGGCGGCGAAGAAGCCCGCGGAGGAGGAGCCGGCGACGGAGAAGGCCGAGAAGGCCCCGGCCGGGAAGAAGCCCAAGGCGGAGAAGCGGCUGCCGGCGGGCAAGAAAACCGCCUCCAAGGAGGGCGGCGGCGAGAAGAGGGGCCGGAAGAAGGGCAAGAAGAGCGUCGAGACCUACAAGAUCUACAUCUUCAAGGUGCUGAAGCAGGUGCACCCCGACAUCGGCAUCUCCUCCAAGGCCAUGUCCAUCAUGAACUCCUUCAUCAACGACAUCUUCGAGAAGCUCGCCGGCGAGGCCGCCAAGCUCGCCCGCUACAACAAGAAGCCCACCAUCACCUCCCGGGAGAUCCAGACCUCCGUCCGCCUCGUCCUCCCCGGGGAGCUCGCCAAGCACGCCGUCUCCGAGGGCACCAAGGCCGUCACCAAGUUCACCUCCUCUUAGAUUCCAUUGCCUGUAUCCAAUAGCUGUUCGCCCUGGUUAUCGCCAAGUAGAAGUAGUGCUAGUGCUGGAUCGGAGUUGCUGAAUGCUUGCCGAUGCCUCGUUCGCUGUAAGAACAGAAUUAUGAACCUAUGGUGCCGCUUUUGCAAGCUGAGAUUUAGUAACGUCGCUUAUGAUCUGACUGUUGUUUGCUCUUCUGAACUGAACUGUGCCACGGGACUGAACAUUUGUAUUGUUAGUGUCAGGUUUCAGUUCUCUGAGACUUAUUGGAUUGGUUGCAACGCAUCAGGUUAUGAGUCUAUGAGUGACGCUGUGUUCAUGUCAAGGUAAUGAUGAACAACAUCAACUCCAUGAUUUUGCCUUGCUCGUGCUUUUGGGUUGUAACUCUAGAAGUUAGCAUUGCUUUUCAAUUAGUAUCAUCUAGCCAGCCUGUUUGCAGCACCUUGUUCACACUAUUAAAACGUCAAGUUUGACAAUUGCUGUAAUUUGCAGUAUCAGUAUCAUCUAGAAGUUGGUUCCUAUAAGCAAAUUUGGUUAUCUGGAGUACUCUUGCUGUUUAUCGAACAUAAGUUACAAUUCUGAAUUUUAUGGACUGUUAGUGAAUCUAUUCAAGCAAUGGUCUGCUGCCUGUAGUUGUUGACUUGGUGUGCCAGUAUCAUGGACUAGUAACUUUUUAUCUACCGACUGUUGUGCUUGUAGGGUUUGGACUUCAAAUGGAAUGUGAAUAUCCGCACUGAACUGAAGAAUUCAGAACUUUGUGACUUGAGACGACAGUAUUAUGUAUAGUUUUGCAUUUGGGAUACUGUUAGUGAGUAGCAGUAACGAACUAAUCUGUGCACCUCCAUCAUCACUUCAGAAGUACUGGCACGCAUGUUUAACCGUGGCAAUUGUUAUAGUCACAUCAAAAGAAAAUUGAGCAUGUUUUUUAAUGAUAAUCGUGCUAAAAUUUCAUAUCCGUGAUCACAAU